GAAGCCUCUAAAUAGAGAUCAUGGAUAUCCAUUUCGUGUGGUUGUCCCCGGUGUUAUAGGUGCCCGCUCUGUAAAAUGGUUGGAUUCAAUCAACAUAAUCGGAGAAGAAUGUCAGGGUUUUUUCAUGCAAAGGGACUACAAGAAGUUUCCUCCUUCGGUUAACUGGGAAAAUAUCGACUGGUCCACUCGAAAGCCUCAAAUGGAUUUUCCAGUCCAGAGUGCAAUUUGUUCACUGGAGGAUGAUAAUACAGUGCAGCACAGAAAGGUUUGUAACAUAUUUCAAACACGGUUCCAUUGGGCACAAAUAUUAUGU